CUCUUGAGCCAGGGUCUUGCAACAAAGUAAGGGACAAGGCAACUGAAAGCGUGAGUUCCGAGGAGGUUUUGGCCAUGUGGAACCUCCUUCCUGUCCACCGAGGGGGAUCCCUGGGCUCACAUUGCCCACUGCAAGCGUAGCAGACUCCCUACCCCAGGGACACUGCCCGCUGUAUAAGGGGCCCCAAUGGCCGAAGAACUUCUGCUCCCUGCUCCUGCUUCAGCUCGCUGCCGUCCUGGUCCCCAGCCUCUCCACGAGUGGCCAAGCGCCUGGCCGGUGGCCAGACCUGUCUGGACAAGAGGAAACCAAGCUGUGAGACGCCAACUCUGAGUCCUCAGAGCAGAAAUUCCACCGGAAAGGGAACAAUGCGCAGGGCAGUCAGUGACUCUCCAGACGGCUGGGGACAGGGCCUUUCUGUUCCACAGGUACAUGGAGCCAGGGCCCAAAAGACACUUUCCGCAUGGUGCAAGGAUUGAUCAGUGUGGAGAGGAAGAGAAAUAGCCUGGCCCAGGUGUUCUGCGUCUAGAAGAUGGACUCGGGUGACCUGGCCGAGGAUGAGUUGCCUGGGAGAGCAGAGGACCUGGUGUCAAACUGGGAAGGGCAGCUUUGGAAUCAGACGAGCCCAAAGCCGAGUCUGAGUCGUGGGCAAGCCUCAUCCAGCCUA